GACGAACGCUGGCGGCGUGCUUAACACAUGCAAGUCGAACGGUAAGGCCCUUCGGGGUACACGAGUGGCGAACGGGUGAGUAACACGUGGGUGAUCUGCCCUGCACUUCGGGAUAAGCCUGGGAAACUGGGUCUAAUACCGGAUAGGACCACUGCCUGCAUGGGUGGUGGUGGAAAGCUUUUGCGGUGUGGGAUGGGCCCGCGGCCUAUCAGCUUGUUGGUGGGGUGAUGGCCUACCAAGGCGACGACGGGUAGCCGGCCUGAGAGGGUGACCGGCCACACUGGGACUGAGAUACGGCCCAGACUCCUACGGGAGGCAGCAGUGGGGAAUAUUGCGCAAUGGGCGCAAGCCUGAUGCAGCGACGCCGCGUGAGGGAUGACGGCCUUCGGGUUGUAAACCUCUUUCAGCACCGACAAAGCGCAAGUGACGGUAGGUGCAGAAGAAGGACCGGCCAACUACGUGCCAGCCGCCGCCGCGG
rnacentral:rRNA from 1 species